CAGCAGCCACGGGAAUACGCAGGGUGCAAGCGUUAAUCGGAAUUACUGGGCGUAAAGCGUGCGCAGGCGGUUUCGUAAGACAGAUGUGAAAUCCCCGGGCUUAACCUGGGAACUGCAUUUGUGACUGCGAGGCUAGAGUGUGUCAGAGGGGGGUGGAAUUCAACGUGUAGCAGUGAAAUGCGUAGAUAUGUGGAGGAACAUCAGUGGCGAAGGCGGCCAUCUGGGACAACACUGACGCUGAGGCACGAAAGCGUGGGGAGCAAACAGGAUUAGAUACCCAAGUAGUCCCUGUCUCUUAUAC
rnacentral:rRNA from 1 species